GUGCAGCCCCAAACUAUUCCUGUGUCUGCUCUACAUCAUGCAUGAGGGAAGCUUGAGCUUUGGACACUGAUUGAGGCGAGCACAGAAGAGGUCUUCAAGAGCGCGCACACAACUCCAACCUGCGGGCAUGGGCCAGAGGCUGAGGGUGAGGCACUCCCCUACCUCUCUGGUCCCGGAAGGCUACUGAGGUCCUGGCUGCUGUGGAAGGGGAGUCCGUGAAGACUCUGAUUUCCAGGACUGUCUCCUUCACCUGGAGAAACUUCAGACUGGUCGAGACUCCACUGAGCCACACCAGCCAGGACCAGAUCCUUUUGUUUCUUUAGGAGAUAAUGGACCCAAGAAGAAAUAGCUCAAGAGAAAGAGAGGAUGAAGUUCAUUGUAAGAAAUGAUUUGCUUUCUCAAUCAUUCUCACACAUUGGGAAGUACUGUGUGCCAAGUCGUGUACUCAGUGAGUUACCAGGGUUACUUCAGACCUAAGAAGUAGGGCAGCAAGUAGUACACAGCUAUAGAUUUCUGGCCCUAUACUAUUUCUUGCUCUUCCUGUUGGCUGCAGAACCCCAGUUUCCCUCUGGAGUCCACUCUCUUUCCUUUUCCCAGCCACAUGGUACGUGGGGAGUUGGUACAGCCUUACCCCCAAAGGGUCACGUGAACCAGGCCUGGCCAAUCAGAACACCACAUUUCCUUGGCCAUGGGCAUUGGCAGAUGAAUGGGUAUUUGGGAUGUCUGCUGAGCUGCUCGGAGAGAAGCAUGAGCACCAGUCCUCUCCCACUGGACGUUAACCUGGGAGGACACGGACACAGGGAGCUGGAGAGCGUGUCAGCGGGAGGAGAGCAGAGCCGGCAGGACAAGGGCCGGUGGGUUCGGAUGGCCUCGUCCACACUCCUUGACUCAACUCUGCCUGCCCUACCUCACGGCUCUUUAUGAGUCACUGCGUCCCUGUGUAUCAGGUACGCGUGUAUUUUUUUGCCAGAUCAAGGUGCGUUUUCUGACCGUUGCAGCUGGAGAUUCUUACCUGUUGAGUAUAUUGUCUUCACUUUGCAAAUGAGGAAAUUAAGGCUCAAAGAGAAAAUGCGACUGAGUUUCCUCAGGCUGAAGGGAACCGACUCUGGAUCGCAAUCUGAAACUAAAUAGUAAAACGAAGAGCACAGGUACAGGCACAACUUCCAGAAAUGUCUUCCCAGAAUCCCUGGAAAAUGGCCCAGGGCAAUCCUCAUCAGGCAGUGCUGAGCCUCUUAUCUUAGGAUGGAGGGGUUUUCAUUGACUGGCUCACAGUAGCAGUUUGGGGCCUGCAUCCUUGAUUGCCAUCAUGUCAGCUAUGGGAAGACCACACUGUCACCGACCUCAAGCCUGUCUCUGCCCCUACACGUGUCCUUACAAAACUCACUUCGGUGUCAUGGGUUUUGUGUUCUUCCUUAGUGACGCUGGUUGGAUGGUUUAGGUUUCAGAAAUACAAUGAGUGCCUUCAACACUAUCAUACCUUCAUGCGCACGUUUCUCUGGCUGCCGUUACAAACAACACCGUGCUGAUCUUUCUGGCUUUAAAAGCACUUUCCCCACUACGCUAUUGAUGAACACAGCCCAUGAAAGCAAUCUGUAUUACACUGAGAAAACCAGAGUGGAAUUUAACAAACUUCAAUCCAUUUGUUAUGGAUUGCAAAGGAGAUAUAACGCGGGUAUUCUAUAAGACUUUUGAAGAAAGAACUGAUCCUCAAUUAGACUGAGAAAUACAAGAAAAUACAGGUGCUCUCCUCAAAAUGCAAACGAUAGACAAAAUAACCAAUUAAGUUCUCAUUAACCUUAGCAAGAUGUUCGUCCUCUCUAAGACCUGGUGUUUUUCAUCUGUAUAAUGAGGAUAGUAGCUGUGACUGCCUGAAGACAACAUUUUCAAAAGUGACAUAUGAAGCACUUCUUAAACAUUUGCCAUCACAUCGUCAUUACCAUUGCCAUUUUCAUUUCCCCAUAUGGACCUACAGCCAACACCUGGGGAGACGGGAAUGGUGUGCUGGGGGCUUGGAUGCUGCGCUGGUGUAAAAGAAACAAAGAGAAAGGUUCAGGUGUUGUAAAACAAACAAAAGGGCUGGGUGCUGGGAAGGUAACAGCCACACCCUGCGAUCUCCGGCUUGGAUCUUCCCCGAGACUGCCUCUGAGUCUUCCUCACAAUUAUUCCCACUGCUCACAGCUGGGAGCCUGGGUGUCUGGGAACUUCAAAUGGGCCAGAGCCCUGCAGGAUGCAGCCUUCAUCAGGACAGCUGCCAGGGUCACGCAAGCGGUCCGCACCGUGCCUCAAACGCGUCUGUAAUUCGGGCUGCUCUCUCUUCAUCCUGGAAGCUUGUAAGCACCUUGUGUUGCUGCCAGACAGCAAAUCCUGACUCAUUUUUAACAGCAGCAGGAACAAAACAUAGUUUGGAAAGGAAGUCAAAUUUCAGGCUUAUUGAUACUUUGAUUUCAUCUGUAAGUUUUCCUUACUUCUAAUGUCUUAAAAAGAAUUUUUAGAAGUAACUGCAGUGCAUGUCUUAAGGAAAAACUCAUAUGGUUUUAAGGUGCUAAAAUUAACACCGUCAUGAGUAGAGGCCUUGACAUGAACAUAUAUCUUGAAUACGUACUAUGUAAUUUAUUAAUUUCACAUGUCUCGAAUUGACAUGGAGUGCCCUGAAAUGGCUGCAGACUUCAUGGAGAUAAGUGUUCUAGAGGUGGGGGUGUGCCCAUUCUGCAGGAGCGAGCUCCGAGUUACCAGAGAAGCAGCAGGAAGGCGUCCUUAGAGACAACCAGGGGAAACCUAAGGUCCCAUAGAAGGGAUCUGCCAAUAGUCACCCAGUUGAAUUACCAGCACACGUGGAUGGGAGCACAUGUCCUCUGAGUGACCCGUAGGUACAGUAGAAACUACCAGCUUCCAAUUAUCUGUAAAUAAUUGGCUACCGCCAGAGACAGCAGAGGAAAAAUUCCCUCCUGUCCUAAUCCUUUUUCUUAGUCCCUUGCGAUUGCUUCCUUUUUGCCCACAGAUUUUUUCUAAGCCUCAUAAAUUAAACAAGCAAAAGCAUAAAAUAAAAACCAAGAAACAAAACUUUACCUAAGAAUUACUACAGUAGCUGCUAUUUAAUGAGCGUCUCCUAUGUUCCAUCUGAUACUCAGGUCUACACAACUUGAAACAGACACUCCUUCGUUCACUGUGUGUGGACGCCCGUGUUGUUGUUAUAGGAAAACGAAGCGACCAGACACCGAGGGAUUCUGGAGUACGAGGUUUAUUGUUUAACGUGCACGGGCUCAGAGGAGUCAUUUCCAAAUUCUGAGCCCCGAACAAAGGAUUCUUGGGGAAUAUAUAGAUUAGGGGGUCUUUCUGUCUACGUGACAAACGUGGGAUACAGAAACAGAAUGUGAUAAUUGUUCUAUCAGCGGCGGUGCUAGUUCCAGUCCUCACUAUCCGGCCACCCGCCCUCCCAGACGGCCCCAUCAUUCUCUCUAGGGCGCCUGGGGCCUGGGCAAAUAAAGGUUAAACAGAGGUUUUUCAAAGUUUCCCAUGUCAUUCCCCCCUUUUAUGCUAAACAGCACUAGUUGCUUGUUUAAGCAUAAUAUAUUUUUGUAGGAAUAAACAAGUCCCCCCUUUUCCUGGAUUUAGAGUAUUAAUGAGGUUUCUUUCCUCAUUAUUUUUCUCCUCCUGUGAUCUACUAUCAGGGAGGGGUUCUGAGGCCUAUAUUGCUACCAAUCACUCAUAGGCAUAGGCAGGUCAUAGGCAUGCGCCCUAUGAAAACAGAAGAACACACAUAAUAAUCCGUAAACUAGUCUCUGUGUCUGUGAGACUGUCUGUCUUUUGGGAAGACAUUGUAUCGCAUGGUCUUUCUUACAAUGACAUUUAACAGUAAUAAUUUGACAAGUCCUUUGUACCUGUUAAUUGUACAUCUUUGGUGACAUCACAAACCUGGUUUUAACUUUCAAAUGAAAGCAAACUUUCAAGACAUUAGCUGCGCCAUUCUGAUGUCUAAUACUAAGCAUUGUGAUUUUCCUUGAACUACAAUUUUUCUCCUUAAGAUCA